CGCAAUUCUAUCAAAGUCACACCUAACAAAGAAUUCAUUUAGCAGUAAAACCAGACGUUCGGUACAUAUGCACGUUACCUUUUUUCGUACACAGGUUUCUUCUUUUUCUUCUUCUUCUUCUUUGCUUC
rnacentral:ribozyme from 16 species